UUAAGCGAACAAGCGUACACGGUGGAUGCCCUGGCAGUCAGAGGCGAUGAAGGACGUGCUAAUCUGCGAAAAGCGCCGGUAAGGUGAUAUGAACCGUUAUAACCGGCGAUGUCCGAAUGGGGAAACCCGGUGCACUUCGGUGCAUCAUCGUUAGCUGAAUACAUAGGCUAACGAGGCGAACCGGGGGAACUGAAACAUCUAAGUACCCCGAGGAAAAGAAAUCAACCGAGAUUCCCCCAGUAGCGGCGAGCGAACGGGGAACAGCCCAGAGCCUGAAUCAGCUUGUGUGUCAGUGGAACGGUCUGGAAAGGCCGGCGAUACAGGGUGACAGCCCCGUACACGAAGGCACACAGGCUGUGAGCUCGAUGAGUAGGGCGGGACACGUGAUAUCCUGUCUGAAGAUGGGGGGACCAUCCUCCAAGGCUAAAUACUCCUGACUGACCGAUAGUGAACCAGUACCGUGAGGGAAAGGCGAAAAGAACCCCGGCGAGGGGAGUGAAACAGAACCUGAAACCGUGUACGUACAAGCAGUGGGAGCCUUCGUAAGAGGGUGACUGCGUACCUUUUGUAUAAUGGGUCAGCGACUUAUAUUCUGUAGCAAGGUUAACCGUAUAGGGGAGCCGAAGGGAAACCGAGUCUUAACCGGGCGUUAAGUUGCAGGGUAUAGACCCGAAACCCGGUGAUCUAGCCAUGGGCAGGUUGAAGGUUGGGUAACACUAACUGGAGGACCGAACCGACUAAUGUUGAAAAAUUAGCGGAUGACCUGUGGCUGGGGGUGAAAGGCCAAUCAAACCGGGAGAUAGCUGGUUCUCCCCGAAAGCUAUUUAGGUAGCGCCUCGUGAACUCAUCUCCGGGGGUAGAGCACUGUUUCGGCUAGGGGGCCAUCCCGGCUUACCAACCCGAUGCAAACUGCGAAUACCGGAGAAUGUUAUCACGGGAGACACACGGCGGGUGCUAACGUCCGUCGUGAAGAGGGAAACAACCCAGACCGCCAGCUAAGGUCCCAAAGUCAUGGUUAAGUGGGAAACGAUGUGGGAAGGCCCAGACAGCCAGGAUGUUGGCUUAGAAGCAGCCAUCAUUUAAAGAAAGCGUAAUAGCUCACUGGUCGAGUCGGCCUGCGCGGAAGAUGUAACGGGGCUAAACCAUGCACCGAAGCUGCGGCAGCGACGCUUAUGCGUUGUUGGGUAGGGGAGCGUUCUGUAAGCCUGCGAAGGUGUGCUGUGAGGCAUGCUGGAGGUAUCAGAAGUGCGAAUGCUGACAUAAGUAACGAUAAAGCGGGUGAAAAGCCCGCUCGCCGGAAGACCAAGGGUUCCUGUCCAACGUUAAUCGGGGCAGGGUGAGUCGACCCCUAAGGCGAGGCCGAAAGGCGUAGUCGAUGGGAAACAGGUUAAUAUUCCUGUACUUGGUGUUACUGCGAAGGGGGGACGGAGAAGGCUAUGUCGGCCGGGCGACGGUUGUCCCGGUUUAAGCGUGUAGGCUGACUUUCCAGGCAAAUCCGGAAAGUUAAGGCUGAGGCGUGAUGACGAGGCACUACGGUGCUGAAGUGACAAAUGCCCUGCUUCCAGGAAAAGCCUCUAAGCAUCAGGUAACAUCAAAUCGUACCCCAAACCGACACAGGUGGUCAGGUAGAGAAUACCAAGGCGCUUGAGAGAACUCGGGUGAAGGAACUAGGCAAAAUGGUGCCGUAACUUCGGGAGAAGGCACGCUGACAUGUAGGUGAAGCCCCUGCGGGUGGAGCUGAAGUCAGUCGAAGAUACCAGCUGGCUGCAACUGUUUAUUAAAAACACAGCACUGUGCAAACACGAAAGUGGACGUAUACGGUGUGACGCCUGCCCGGUGCCGGAAGGUUAAUUGAUGGGGUUAUCGCAAGAGAAGCUCCUGAUCGAAGCCCCGGUAAACGGCGGCCGUAACUAUAACGGUCCUAAGGUAGCGAAAUUCCUUGUCGGGUAAGUUCCGACCUGCACGAAUGGCGUAAUGAUGGCCAGGCUGUCUCCACCCGAGACUCAGUGAAAUUGAACUCGCUGUGAAGAUGCAGUGUACCCGCGGCAAGACGGAAAGACCCCGUGAACCUUUACUACAGCUUGACACUGAACAUUGAGCCUUGAUGUGUAGGAUAGGUGGGAGGCUUUGAAGCGUGGACGCCAGUCUGCGUGGAGCCGACCUUGAAAUACCACCCUUUAAUGUUUGAUGUUCUAACCUGGCGCCGUGAUCCGGCGUGGGGACAGUGUCUGGUGGGUAGUUUGACUGGGGCGGUCUCCUCCCAAAGUGUAACGGAGGAGCACGAAGGUCAGCUAAUCCUGGUCGGACAUCAGGAGGUUAGUGCAAUGGCAUAAGCUGGCUUGACUGCGAGAGUGACGGCUCGAGCAGGUGCGAAAGCAGGUCAUAGUGAUCCGGUGGUUCUGUAUGGAAGGGCCAUCGCUCAACGGAUAAAAGGUACUCCGGGGAUAACAGGCUGAUACCGCCCAAGAGUUCAUAUCGACGGCGGUGUUUGGCACCUCGAUGUCGGCUCAUCACAUCCUGGGGCUGAAGUAGGUCCCAAGGGUAUGGCUGUUCGCCAUUUAAAGUGGUACGCGAGCUGGGUUUAGAACGUCG
rnacentral:rRNA from 1 species